AACGCGAAGAACCUUACCCGGGUUUGAAAUGUAGAGGACGAUAACAGAGAUGUUAUUUCCCGAAAGGGUCUUUACACAGGUGCUGCAUGGCUGUCGUCAGCUCGUGCCGUGAGGUGUUGGGUUAAGUCCCGCAACGAGCGCAACCCUUAUCGUUAGUUGCCAACAUUUAAGAUGGGAACUCUAACGAGACUGCCUAGGUUAACUAGGAGGAAGGUGAGGAUGACGUCAAGUCCGCAUGGCCUUUAUAUCCGGGGCUACACACGUGCUACAAUGGUCGGUACAGAGGGCAGCGAGACCGCAAGGUGGAGCAAAUCCCACAAAGCCGAUCUCAGUUCGGAUUGUAGUCUGCAACUCGACUACAUGAAGCUGGAAUUGCUAGUAAUGGCGAGUCAGCAAUAUCGCCGUGAAUACGUUCCCGGGCCUUGUA
rnacentral:rRNA from 1 species